GUAGGUGGCAAGCGUUGUCCGGAAUUAUUGGGCGUAAAGCGCGCGCAGGCGGUCCUUUAAGUCUGAUGUGAAAGCCCACGGCUCAACCGUGGAGGGUCAUUGGAAACUGGAGGACUUGAGUACAGAAGAGGAAAGCGGAAUUCCAAGUGUAGCGGUGAAAUGCGUAGAGAUUUGGAGGAACACCAGUGGCGAAGGCGGCUUCCUGGUCUGUAACUGACGCUGAGGCGCGAAAGCGUGGGGAGCAAACAGGGAUUAGAUACCCUGGUAGUCCACGCCGUAAACGAUGAGUGCUAAGUGUUAGGGGGGUUUCCGCCCCCUUAGUGCUGCAGCUAACGCAUUAAGCACUCCGCCUGGGGAUACGGCCGCAAGGCUG
rnacentral:rRNA from 1 species